rnacentral:tRNA from 1 species
GGUAAAAUGGCUGAGAUUAAGGUAGUAGAUUGUAAAUCUAUUUAUGGUAUUUUAAUUGUACCUUUUACCA